UAUCGAUUAAUUUUUAUUCAGCAAAUAUUAUAAAAUACCAUGGCUUUCUGGCGACACACACACACUAAGUGUGCACUGGUCUCAAAUAUCUGUAGUUUUCCCUAUUUGUUGUAGCGUAGUUUAUAGUUGAAGAAGUCUUUUACGCUACUGAAAUAUUAAAUACUUUAUUUUUAAUAAUUUUUAUCAUAAAAAUGCAUUUUUUUUCAAUAGCAAACUAAAUACUCAAAGUGGUUUCUCUUAAGUAUAUACAUGCCGUAGUAUUGUUAGUGCGUUAAUAAUACAUACAUAAGUAGUUUUUUAUUUUUGUUUUUACAGCAAAUUUAAUUUUUUUGAAGGAGUUUUUAAUUGGCAUUUUUUUAAAUUUUUUUUUUUUGUAUUAGUUUUAAAUUAUGAUAUAUUUCACUGUUGCUAUUGUUGUGUUUUUAAUCAACUUGUCUUCUAUGCCUACUUAACUAGUCUGCGAGCUAGUUUUAUGUGCAUUACUUAUACAAAAACUUAAAUUACUCACUUUGUAUUGAAGUGUUACAAAUUUAUAUUAUUAUUAUUUUUAUUUUUUUUAUCAGUAUUGCAGUUUUGCUUCAUAUAACUUAGUGACUAUGCGUUUGCAAAAAAAGUUUGAAUGUAUUUGUAAUUAUUUUCUUUACUUUGUAUUGUUUUUUAUGCACUUUUUAAUUACUAAAGUUCAAAUAUCACGGUUCUUACGCUUACAAAAGGCUAUUAUACUAAUUUAUUACAUUUUUCACAUUUACCCACGUAGUAAAAUGCUUGAAAUAAAAGUUGAAAACUAAAAUUUACAUUUGAAUAAAAUAAUUAUGUAACUGUGGCAUAAAAAUUGGGUGUAGUGUCAAUGUUUGUGUCAGUAGUGAAAAAUAAAAUUACAAAAUGACGAAUUUAUAUAUUAAUUGGCAGACAUUUGUUGCAGUUAGUGAAGAGUUUAUGAUGGAAAUUAAGUGGAAGUCUGUUUAACGCAUUUUGUUUUUCUAAAUUUUGACUUUUGAAAAAUUCUAAAAAAUUCAAAUAUUCUUUUACCGAAAUUUAUUAAUUACUUCGUGCAUUUUCUAAUGACUGGUAUUAAAACUGCUAUAUUAUAGCAAGCGAUUAUACCGUUAUCUUUGAUUUGGAUUCAAGUGGCUGAAUUUUAUUUGGUGGAAACAAACAAAAGUUUUUAGUGUGGUGGAACAAACAAAAAACCGGUGUAAAAAUUGGUAUAAUUUAGCAAGUUGUUAUACCACUUUAAAAUGAUAGCAGUUGGCUUCGUUUCGUCAAAAGAAAACAGAGAGUGGCGAAUAGAACAAGCAAAUGUUAUAAACAGCAUAAGCAGGCACAAGCAAGUUGGAAACUAAUAUAUUAUAGCAAGCUGUUCUACCGAGUCGAGUCUAAGUAACCGGACCGGGCCCGGAUUUUUAUCUGGCCAAGGACUGUCAAUUCGGCGCCAUUCCUCGAAAUUACCUUAGAAGUGUUUUCUGCCGCUACAACAACAACAAACUGUAAUAUUAAUGUGGAUUCAGCAGGCUGCGUUUGCCAAACAAAUUUGAUAGUGGCGAAACGGACGAACGAGUUCGCUACGUUUUGGCAAAAAAAUUUGAGAGCAGUGAAUCGAAAACAAAACUGGCUUAAUUCUGCGAUAUCAGUUUACUGCGUUUUGCCAAAAAAAUUUCAAAUGGUGAAACGAACAAAAACUGGUAUAAAAAUUGUAAAUGGCAUAAGCAAACAGGGCUAGAAAAUUGUAGGUUAUUCCACGCUUCUUUGCGGUUACGACAACUCCCUUUGUAUUAAAUUCAACUGUGUAAUUUUUAAUUCUUUUGCAUUCAUUUUUUUUUUUUUGCUCACAAAUGAAUUCAAAUCAAACGAAUUAAACAAAAUUGCGAAACGAAGACGGAUGAUAUAGCAUUUUAGCACUUUUAAGUGGUUUUAAUUAAUACAAAUUAUUUUUAUUUUCUGUUUGGAACAAAAGCGUAUAGAAUUUCCCUUUAAGUGGCUGAAUAAAAAAUUUAAACAAAAAGUU